UNANANAUGCAGUCGACGGUAGCAGGAAGGAAGCUUGCUUUCUUUGCUGACGAGUGGCGGANGGGUGAGUAAUGCUUGGGAAUCUGGCUUAUGGAGGGGGAUAACUGCGGGAAACUGCAGCUAAUACCGCGUAAAGUCUUUGGACUAAAGGGGGCGUUUGCUCUUGCCAUAAGAUGAGCCCAAGUGGGAUUAGGUAGUUGGUGGGGUAAUGGCUCACCAAGCCGUCGAUCUCUAGCUGGUCUGAGAGGAUGACCAGCCACACCGGGACUGAGACACGGCCCGGACUCCUACGGGAGGCAGCAGUGGGGAAUAUUGCGCAAUGGGGGGAACCCUGACGCAGCCAUGCCGCGUGAAUGAAGAAGGCCUUCGGGUUGUAAAGUUCUUUCGGUGAUGAGGAAGGCAGUUUGGUUAAUAGCCAAGCUGAUUGACGUUAGUCACAGAAGAAGCACCGGCUAACUCCGUGCCAGCAGCCGCGGUAAUACGGAGGGUGCGAGCGUUAAUCGGAAUAACUGGGCGUAAAGGGCACGCAGGCGGAUUUUUAAGUGAGGUGUGAAAGCCCCGGGCUUAACCUGGGAAUUGCAUUUCAGACUGGGAAUCUAGAGUACUUUAGGGAGGGGUAGAAUUCCACGUGUAGCGGUGAAAUGCGUAGAGAUGUGGAGGAAUACCGAAGGCGAAGGCAGCCCCUUGGGAAUGUACUGACGCUCAUGUGCGAAAGCGUGGGGAGCAAACAGGAUUAGAUACCCUGGUAGUCCACGCUGUAAACGCUGUCGAUUUGGGGGUUGGGGUUUAACUCUGGCGCCCGUAGCUAACGUGAUAAAUCGACCGUCUGGGGAGUACGGCCGCAAGGUUAAAACUCAAAUGAAUUGACGGGGGCCCGCACAAGCGGUGGAGCAUGUGGUUUAAUUCGAUGCAACGCGAAGAACCUUACCUACUCUUGACAUCCAGAGAAUCCUGUAGAGAUACGGGAGUGCCUUAGGGAGCUUUGAGACAGGUGCUGCAUGGCUGUCGUCAGCUCGUGUUGUGAAAUGUUGGGUUAAGUCCCGCAACGAGCGCAACCCUUAUCCUUUGUUGCCAGCGAUACGGUCGGGAA
rnacentral:rRNA from 1 species